ACCCUCUCAGGGUUGCACCUGGAGAGUUUCCAGUACUCUACCAGUCUUGAUUACAGGAGGGCAAAUCAAGCAGAGGCCUACUCCUUCCAUGCCUACCUUGGCCAGUGGCUAGUGAAUGGAAGGCAAUCUGCUACAAGU